rnacentral:lncRNA from 1 species
AAACUCUGUCUCUACUGAAAAUAAAAAAUUAGCCGGGCAUGGUGGCAGCCGCCUAUAAUCCCAGCUACUUGGGAGGCUGAGGCAGGAGAAUUGCUUGAACCCAGGAGGUGGAGGUUGCAGUGAGCUGAGAUCAUGAGAUCGCACCACUGCACUCCAGUCUGGAUGACAGAGCAAGACUUCAUCUCAAAAAAAAAAAAAAGAAUAUUAUAUGCCAAGCAUUAUGCUGAUGUAUAUUUCCUCACUCAACCCAUAACAACCCUAAUGGGGUAGGUAUUCUGUAUUCAUGCCAUCUUUAUAGGGAAGGAAAAGAAAGCUGAGCAGGAAUUUAUCAUUUGCCUAAAAUCCACCUGGAUUUGAACCUAAGUCUGCCUAAUUCCAAACUUUUGCCGUUAACCUCUAUGCCCUUUUGCCAUUUAAUUAGAACUAAAUCAAGCAUUUCUAGAACUAUGGGUAGCAGGAUUAGGAUGCAGACUAUCUGCAUUCUCGUCUGGCUCUGCCACAACCAACUAUUUGAUCAAGGGCAGGUGAAUUAACUGGUGAGAACCUGUUUCUUUAUCUGUUAAAUGAGAUGAUAGAUUACAAGACUUUAGUGUUUUCUAUUCUGUGAUUCUAUUUAUGUAAAUAUUCACUAACCACCAUGUGGUUAUGAACAGGCACAAAACCAAAGUAAAAGACGUUAAAUUUAAAUUUAAAAUAAAUUUUAACAGAAGGUACAUGUUUGUUUUAUUGUUUUGCUUUACAGCCAAAAGCAAACCAAAACACCAGAGAUGCUCAUUUAAGCAGUAGGGCCCUAACUUUUGAGUGUGACGGCAGUUAUGUCUGUAAAUGAAUUUUAUUCAUUGCUGUGAGGGAUAGAUAUAUAUGUUCACUUCCUGCAAAAAUUGAAACUAAAUGUUAACAGUAUUUAAUCUAUUUAUUCAGAGUGUAUUCAGAGAGAUUUAAUGAAGAAAUUAACACUGUGUCAGAUGGGAUGGGGCAGAUCAAUGUCCUAUAAUUGUGUGGCCUAAAUUUGGCUAAGUUAGAUUUAGUUUUUCUCAGAUAAUUUUAGGGUUUCCAGGCUUUUCUUAUUCUGUACAUAAUGAUCCAGCCUUUUCUUGUCCCGUUUAUAAUGGAAAUCUUCUAUGCUGGUUAUUUUGCUAAUCCUUCCCAGUCCUUCCCUUUCCUCUCCACCUGCAUCUCUUCUUCCCCCUGCUCUGCCCUGGACUGUGCCUCAGAAGGCUGAAAUGUGCUAACUGCAUCUCCAUAAGUCUUUUUGAAUUGAAACACACAGGAGAUCUGAGAGUAUAAAGUUGGUAUGUCUUCCCUGCCCCCACUUUGGCACACCAUCUCUUACAGCAGCUUCAUCACUCCUGCAUCACUCCCCAGCCACACUGGCCUUCUUCCCCAGCUCCGGCUUCUACUGGGCCCUGCUAACUACUCUAUAUUCUUUGUUUCUACAGGCCCAGGGGGGAAACGGUUUUCCCUCUGAAGCUGGUCCCUGAGUAUCUCACCGUAUUUUGUCUCUUCUUAACCUUGCUUAUAUAUUUUUGAGUAGUCUUUUCAUUAAAGUCUCUUCAUUUGAACCAUCUAGGAUGAAUUUUGUUUCUUCCCCAGGACCCCAGCUGAUUCACUAUCACUUACCUAAAACUCAUUGAAUUGGAAUUUAAGCACCUCAUCCCAAAGAUGACAUUGACUUCAAUCAAUGAGUACAUAUUGAGCAUCUUGAUGUGCUUAAGGGUAUACUAAGAGCUAUGACAGGUACAAGAGUCAUUCGAGGCUAGCCCAAGUGCAGUGGUGUCUACAACAAAUUGAUCACAACCAGUGGCAGAUUUCUUUGUUCCUUCUCUACUUCCAUUGCUUCACUUGACUAG